rnacentral:rRNA from 1 species
AUUGAACGCUGGCGGCAUGCUUUACACAUGCAAGUCGAACGGUAACAGGCCGCAAGGUGCUGACGAGUGGCGAACGGGGGAGUAAUGCAUCGGAACGUGCCCAGUCGUGGGGGAUAACUACUCGAAAGAGUAGCUAAUACCGCAUACGAUCUAUGGAUGAAAGCGGGGGACCGUAAUGCCUCGCGCGAUUUGAGCGGCCGAUGUCAGAUUAGGUAGUUGGUGGGGUAAAGGCUCACCAAGCCAACGAUCUGUAGCUGGUCUGAGAGGACAACCAGCCACACUGGGACUGAGACACGGCCCAGACUCCUACGGGAGGCAGCAGUGGGGAAUUUUGGACAAUGGGCGCAAGCCUGAUCCAGCAAUGCCGCGUGCAGGAAGAAGGCCUUCGGGUUGUAAACUGCUUUUGUACGGAACGAAACGGCUCUGGUUAAUACCCGGGGCUAAUGACGGUACCGUAAGAAUAAGCACCGGCUAACUACGUG